CUCAGCUCAAAAAUUAUAAUUGUGACAAUUUGGAACAGCUAAAGAAUGUUCAAGAAUGUCAUCAGAUGGAGGGAACAACAUCAACAAAUAGCCCAUGUCACUGAGAACACUGCUCAGCUGGCUCGUAGAUUCUUUCUUCAACCACACCUUGACAAGAAAGAGGACCUGAAAGCUGAAAGAUUUCGGGGCACUUCCAGGAAGCACACGAUCUAGAUGAUCUCAAACUGUAACUUCCCAGGUCAGCAGUUCCUUCCUCUCUCCUUCCCUCUCUGCCUUUCUUUCUAAAACAGAAUUUUUAUAUUUUGAAUUUUAUUUCUUCCUCUGUUCCAUCCAGUUAAACGUUAGAGUUUUAGGGUGGGACCUGAAGACUGGUGCUUUUGAAAAACUCU
ensembl:lncRNA